rnacentral:tRNA from 1 species
GAUUAUUUAGUUUAAGAGAAAAAUAAUAAUUUUGUAAGUUGUAGAUGAAUGUAGUUUAAUAAUCU